rnacentral:rRNA from 1 species
UACGGGGGGAGCAAGCGGUGUUCGGAUUUACUGGGCGUAAAGGGCGCGUAGGCGGCCACCGCAAGUCGGUUGUGAAAUCUCCGGGCUUAACCCGGAAAGGUCAAUCGAUACUGCGGGGCUAGAGUGCAGAAGGGGCAACUGGAAUUCUCGGUGUAGCGGUGAAAUGCGUAGAUAUCGAGAGGAACACCUGCGGCGAAGGCGGGUUGCUGGGCCGACACUGACGCUGAAGUGCGAAAGCUAGGGGAGCGAACGGG